rnacentral:rRNA from 1 species
CCCUUAGAUGUUCUGGGGUGCACGCGCGUUACACUGAUUCGUUCAACGAGUUUAUGACCUUGCCUGAUGAGGUGGGGGAAUCUUUUCAAAUCGCAUCGUGAUGGGGAUAGAGUAUUGUAACUGUUAGUCUUCAACGAGGAAUUCCUAGUAAGUACGUGUCAUCAGCUCGUACUGAUUAUGUCCCUGCCCUUUGUACACACCGCCCGUCGCUCCUACCGAUUGAGUGCUCAGGUGAAUAGUAUGGACUGCAUCAGUGUUCGGUCUCCGAAUGUUGACGCGAGAAAUUCUGUGAAUCUUAUUGCUUAGAGGAAGGAGAAGUCGUAACA